rnacentral:rRNA from 1 species
GACGAACGCUGGCGGCGUGCUUAACACAUGCAAGUCGAACGGAAAGGCCCUGCUUUUGUGGGGUGCUCGAGUGGCGAACGGGUGAGUAACACGUGAGUAACCUGCCCUUGACUUUGGGAUAACUUCAGGAAACUGGGGCUAAUACCGGAUAGGAGCUCCUGCUGCAUGGUGGGGGUUGGAAAGUUUCGGCGGUUGGGGAUGGACUCGCGGCUUAUCAGCUUGUUGGUGGGGUAGUGGCUUACCAAGGCUUUGACGGGUAGCCGGCCUGAGGGGGUGACCGGCCACAUUGGGACUGAGAUACGGGCCAGACUCCUACGGGAGGCAGCAGUGGGGAAUAUUGCACAAUGGGCGGAAGCCUGAUGCAGCAACGCCGCGUGCGGGAUGACGGCCUUCGGGUUGUAAACCGCUUUCGCCUGUGACGAAGCGUGAGUGGCGGUAAUGGGUAAAGAAGCACCGGCUAACUACGUG